UACGAAGGGGGCUAGCGUUGCUCGGAAUCACUGGGCGUAAAGGGUGCGUAGGCGGGUCUUUAAGGCGGGGGUGAAAUCCUGGAGCUCAACUCCAGAACUGCCUUUGAUACUGGAGAGCUUGAGUCCGGAAGAGGUGAGUGGAACUCCGAGUGUAGAGGUGAAAUUCGUAGAUAUUCGGGAGAACACCAGUGGCGAAGGCGGCUCACUGGUCCGGUACUGACGCUGAUGUGCGAAAGCGUGGGGAGCAAACAGG
rnacentral:rRNA from 1 species